rnacentral:rRNA from 1 species
GAUGAACGCUGGCGGCGUGCUUAACACAUGCAAGUCGAGCGGAAAGGCCCUGCUUUUGUGGGGUGCUCGAGUGGCGAACGGGUGAGUAACACGUGAGUAACCUGCCCUUGACUUUGGGAUAACUUCAGGAAACUGGGGCUAAUACCGGAUAGGAGCUCCUGCUGCAUGGUGGGGGUUGGAAAGUUUCGGCGGUUGGGGAUGGACUCGCGGCUUAUCAGCUUGUUGGUGGGGUAGUGGCUUACCAAGGCUUUGACGGGUAGCCGGCCUGAGAGGGUGACCGGCCACAUUGGGACUGAGAUACGGCCCAGACGCCAACGGGAGGCAACAGUGGGGAAUAUUGCACAAUGGGCGGAAGCCUGAUGCAGCAACGCCGCGUGCGGGAUGACGGCCUUCGGGUUGUAAACCGCUUUCGCCUGUGACGAAGCGUGAGUGACGGUAAUGGGUAAAGAAGCACCGGCUAACUACGUG